CGGCAGCACAGAGGAGCUUGCUCCUUGGGUGGCGAGUGGCGGACGGGUGAGGAAUACAUCGGAAUCUACUCUGUCGUGGGGGAUAACGUAGGGAAACUUACGCUAAUACCGCAUACGACCUACGGGUGAAAGCAGGGGAUCUUCGGACCUUGCGCGAUUGAAUGAGCCGAUGUCGGAUUAGCUAGUUGGCGGGGUAAAGGCCCACCAAGGCGACGAUCCGUAGCUGGUCUGAGAGGAUGAUCAGCCACACUGGAACUGAGACACGGUCCAAACUCCUACGGGAGGCAGCAGUGGGGAAUAUUGGACAAUGGGCGCAAGCCUGAUCCAGCCAUACCGCGUGGGUGAAGAAGGCCUUCGGGUUGUAAAGCCCUUUUGUUGGGAAAGAAAUCCAGCUGGCUAAUACCCGGUUGGGAUGACGGUACCCAAAGAAUAAACACCGGCUAACUUCGUGCCAGCAGCCGCGGUAAUACGAAGGGUGCAAGCGUUACUCGGAAUUACUGGGCGUAAAGCGUGCGUAGGUGGUCGUUUAAGUCCGUUGUGAAAGCCCUGGGCUCAAACUGGGAACUGCAGUGGAUACUGGGCGACUAGAGU
rnacentral:rRNA from 2 species